rnacentral:lncRNA from 1 species
GAUGUUUCCAUAACCGGCACUUGGCGAAAUUGCGGAUUUGUUUACAUCGGAAGUGAGCGUACGUGCGCCAGAAUAUGGUAACCCUGGUAAUUGUUGCAACCCACACAGGGAAUUUUCCUGAAGGAGGAAAAGGGAAAUUUUCUGUUUACUUUUCGAACAUUACGGUUGAACUGCCCUUCAAUGAAAGCUUUUGCUCGAUGUGUGGCCUGUAAUAGCAAUAAAUGGGACUUUUGUGAACUGAAAUCUGUUAGGCUUUCCAAAAUCCAGAAAGCUGAUUAGGUGUGCAGAAGCAGCAGACUUGUAAAUGUGAAGGAGCUAUUUGCUUAGUUAUGCAGUAGAAUUCACCACCCUGCGGCAAGCUUCAUUAAAGCUGUGAACAGCCAAGCUAACCAUCUUCAGGGAAUCAGGGAAAGUGGCUGCAUCAAGCAAACCCAGUGACAUUCCAAAGAGGAAUGUCAGUCAAAAUAAAAACUUAAUACCUAAAUCUCGGAAAAUCAGACAAUUAAGCCACAAAUCUUGUGACCAAUUUUUCAGUUGCUGUGCUUAGUGCGAUAAAGUUAUAUGGCAAUAAACUGAAAAGCUAUGGCAGGUAUUCUAUUGUACCCUUUAAUGAAAUCAAUUUAAAGCAAGCUUAUCAUAUGAUAAGCAAAAUGAUUGUAUCAUUGGAUAUGAAGACUAUGGUAAUGAUUGCAUUGCUGGGUAUGCAGGCUAUGGUUCUACAAUGAGCCAAAUGUAAUAUCUCAGUAU